rnacentral:lncRNA from 1 species
UUUUCUCUUCAUGUGGCCGGCCAUAGCAAGAACAAAGAGAGGAAAAGAAAAACAAGAAACCUAGGUGGGAAAAUUAAAGAAAAAGUGUGGGAUUUCAAGGAAUCAAGCAAUCAAAGGUAAAAUUUCUUGAUUUUGACUUGUGAUCUACCUUUCCCAUGCUUUUCUCCUUCUUUCCAUGGUUANACCUUUCCCAUGCUUUUCUCCUUCUUUUCCAUGGUUAGAUUUCAUGUUUUCAUGGUGAAUUCAUGGCUGCCCAAAUGGGUAGGGAGAGAGAAUGAAGUUAGAUUGAUUUGAUUUUAGGUUAUGUUAGUGUUUUAAGUUAGUUUAGCAUAUUUAGAAAUAAAACAAUAAGAAAAGAAUUCAUUUUCCCCCAUUACCAUCAUUGGCUGAAUUUCCUAAGGAGAAUAUUGUGGCUGAAUUUGAUGAUAUUUGAUGAUAUUUUGGUAAUAUUUGAUGUUUGGUGAGGCUAGAAAUUAAAUGGAAAAUUUUGGUGCGAAAAUACAAAUUUUUGCUCAACAUAUAAACAUGUGUAAUUAUUGACUCGAGACCGAUAAAUUGAACCUCAUUCAUAGUCACUGAGGUAAUUUAGGUAUAAUUGGAGUGUGAAAAGUGAAAAGAAUUUAUUUGGAGUUAAAUUGAAGAUUUUAGCCGAUUAGACCAAAAUAGUGCAAAUUAGGUCGAAUACCGUAUUUAAACGGCUAUUCAGACAUUUUUGCAUUCCAUAUCAUGCAUUAGUAGCCUAAAUUAGUUUAAUUUCAAUUUAGUACCAAUGUGGUGAAUUUCUCAAUUUUGUACUGUGUCAAGGUGGUGAGUCCUCCGAUAAAGGCAAGGAAAUUACAUCCAAGGAUCAGUAAACAGAGUACUUCAAAAGUCUGCAUUCUAGACAUUGUGAGUAAACUUACUAUCAUUUUAAUCAUCUAGGGUGAUUUUUCGAUGGUUUCAUGAAUUUUAUGGAAAAAUGGAUUUAAAAGGUAAAUUUUCAUGUUCUAUGAAUAAAGGUGUUCCAAUGAAAUUAAAUUAUAAAUUGUUUUGAAAUUAAUGAUGAUUUUGAAAAAUAGAGUACAUGAAGACUGUUAAUUGUGGCAAUUUGAUUGUUUAAAUUUAUAGCUUAUGUUAUAUUGUUAUUGUAUUGGCAUGACUGGUUGGGCUGUGUUUUAUGAAUUGUAUGAAUUGUUUUAUUUUACACUUGCAAGCUGGGUAGUAUUUCAUUAGCCCUGUCAUGCUGUCAAAAUUUUAUUAUAUGGUGAAUUAUAUAUUAAUUAAUCACUACAGUAGGGGGUUUCUGUGGACUAGCCUUUUAGAGGGGCACAGUAAACCCCAUUAUAUUCUUACCUCGAUUGGAGAAGCGUGUAGGGUAUCUCCUGGGGUAAAGUUUAGGGUUCACUUCACGCUAAACCACCACGUGAGGGAGAACUCAGCCAACGCCAAGGAACGGCUGUACUUUUAAAUGAAAAAAAAAUGUGUUUUAUGCGAAAUGUGAAUAUUUAACAGCCUUGGCGGUCUCGGUAGGAUGCCUCGGCCAAGGUGUCCCUGAGAAUGGAUUUAUGGCACAAGCCUAGUUUUUAUGAGAUUCAUAAGCCUCUUCACGUAUUUUAAAUGAAAUGUAUUCUAAUGCUGUGACCUAGUUUACGAUGAUUUACUUGAUUAUCUCCAUGUACUCAACUCUAGAUGUUUAUGAUGAUGUCUGUUUACUCAUUGGGAUUCUAUAAUCUCACCACCCUCAUUUCCUUCCAUUUCAGGCUCAGUAUAGGCUGUAGAUAGCUGAUAGCGUCGAAGGCUACAGUUGACUCGACUACUUCAAAAAUCGUAGGUUCAUAGCCUUCUUUCACUUUUGUCAUUUGGGGGCCCAAGUGUCACUGUAAAUUAAAUUUUAUACUUUAGUUAUCUGUACUACUGUAUGUAAGAAUUUAUUU